GAUUUCUGGUAUGGCGCAUUUGGCCCGCCAAGGUUACUUGGUUGUGUGCCGUUUUGCGCCUGCCAUCCAUCUGGGGAACGAUUCUACCCUUCACUGGGUUGGGAUCGGUAUCCAGAUCAUUUACUUUGAAAAAAUUAGAGUGUUUAAAGCAGGCUUACGCUAUGAAUAUAUUAGCAUGGAAUAAUAAUUUAGGACUUUGGUCUUAUUUUGUUGGUUUCUAGGACUAAAGUAAUGAUUGAUAGGGAUAGUUGGGGGUGCUAGUAUUCAGCGGCCAGAGGUGAAAUUCUUGGAUUCGCUGAAGACUAACUUAUGCGAAAGCAUU
rnacentral:rRNA from 1 species